rnacentral:rRNA from 1 species
UACGAAGGGGGCUAGCGUUGCUCGGAAUCACUGGGCGUAAAGGGUGCGUAGGCGGGUCUUUAAGUCAGGGGUGAAAUCCUGGAGCUCAACUCCAGAACUGCCUUUGAUACUGAAGAUUUUGAAUUCGGGAGAGGUGAGUGGAACUGCGAGUGUAGAGGUGAAAUUCGUAGAUAUUCGCAAGAACACCAGUGGCGAAGGCGGCUCACUGGCCCGAUACUGACGCUGAGGUACGAAAGCGUGGGAGCAAACAGG